rnacentral:rRNA from 1 species
GAUGAACGCUGGCGGCGUGCCUAAUACAUGCAAGUCGAGCGAACAGACGAGGAGCUUGCUCCUUUGACGUUAGCGGCGGACGGGUGAGUAACACGUGGGUAACCUACCUAUAAGACUGGGAUAACUUCGGGAAACCGGAGCUAAUACCGGAUAAUAUUUCGAACCGCAUGGUUCGAUAGUGAAAGAUGGUUCUGCUAUCACUUAUAGAUGGACCUGCGCCGCAUUAGCUAGUUGGUAAGGUAACGGCUUACCAAGGCAACGAUACGUAGCCGACCUGAGAGGGUGAUCGGCCACACUGGAACUGAGACACGGUCCAGACUCCUACGGGAGGCAGCAGUAGGGAAUCUUCCGCAAUGGGCGAAAGCCUGACGGAGCAACGCCGCGUGAGUGAUGAAGGUCUUCGGAUCGUAAAACUCUGUUAUUAGGGAAGAACAAACGUGUAAGUAACUGUGCACGUCUUGACGGUACCUAAUCAGAAAGCCACGGCUAACUACGUG